AUUGAACGCUGGCGGCAGGCCUAACACAUGCAAGUCGAGCGGAUGAAGGGAGCUUGCUCCUGGAUUCAGCGGCGGACGGGCGAGUAAUGCCUAGAAAUCUGCCUGGUUGCGUUGGAUAACGUGCGGAAACGGGCGCUAAUACCGCAUACGUCCUGACGGAGAACGGGGGGGAGCAUCGGAUCUUACGCUAUCAGAUGAGCCUAUGUCGGAUUAGCUAGUUGGUGGGGUAAAGGCCUACCAAGGCGACGAUCCGUAACUGGUCUGAGAGGAUGAUCAGUCACACUGGAACUGAGACACGGUCCAGACUCCUACGGGAGGCAGCAGUGGGGAAUAUUGGACAAUGGGCGAAAGCCUGAUCCAGCCAUGCCGCGUGUGUGAAGAAGGUCUUCGGAUUGUAAAGCACUUUAAGUUGGGAGGAAGAGCAGUAAGUUAAUACCUUGCUGUUUUGACGUUACCAACAGAAUAAGCACCGGCUAACUUCGUG
rnacentral:rRNA from 1 species